rnacentral:rRNA from 1 species
UGGGGAAUUUUCUGCAAUGGGGGGAACCCUGACGGAGCAACGCCGCGUGCGGGAGGACGGCCUGUGGGUUGUAAACCGCUUUUCUCUAGGAAGAAGAUCUGACGGUACUGGAGGAAUCAGCAUCGGCUAACUCCGUGCCAGCAGCCGCGGUAAGACGGAGGAUGCAAGCGUUAUCCGGAAUUAUUGGGCGUAAAGCGUCCGUAGGCGGUUUAUCAAGUCAGUUGUUAAAGACUGCAGCUCAACUGUGGGCGAGCAACUGAAACUGAUUAACUAGAGUGCGGUAGGGGUAGAGGGAAUUCCGAGUGUAGAGGUGAAAUUCGUAGAUAUUCGGAAGAACACCAGUGGCGAAGGCGGCUCACUGGCCCGGUACUGACGCUGAGGCGCGAAAGCGUGGGGAGCAAACAGGAUUAGAUACCCCCGUAGUCC